CUUUCGUUUCGGCGUAGCGCGAGGUUUAGGGUUUAAGCCGAGAGCUGAAGGAUUUCGUCGCAGCGUUGUUCACCAUGGCGGAGCAGGACGCGAUCGGGGCUGCGGCCUUGCGCGACAUGAAGCAGGGACUCGAUGAAAUCACUGAAAAAUUACGGCUACUUACUGAGGAAGUGAGGUCAGGUCAGUUGCCCACCAAGAAUGGCAUCAGUUAUCUCGAAGUGAAGCACCUGCUUCUGUUUAGCUAUUGUGAAACCCUCGUCUUCUACAUGCUUUGUAAAAGUGAAGGUCGCAGCAUCCAGGACCACCCUCUCUGGCAACGCCUGGCCGAAAUCAAAUUCGUUCUAGAAAAGAUUCGUCCCAUUGAUAAAAAAUUAGAAUAUCAAAUAGACAAAUUGUUAAGGGCAGGUCAGACUCCAGCAGGAGAUGCCACAGGAGAUGAAGUUGGGAAAGAAGACGCGCUGGCUUACAAGCCAAACCCCGACAUGCUCGUAUCAAAGCUGGACCAGAUGGCGGAGGAUGGUGGAGGAGUUUACAGACCUCCCAUGAUAGCCCCUGCAGCCAUGGAAGAGAAUGGUACUGGCCGUGAUCGGCGUUCAAAAGCUCGAGCUGAGAAAGAUAUGGCACGGCGUGCAGCCCGUAGUUCUUUCAUUAAAGAACUGGCCAACGAAGUGGAAGGCAGACCUGAGGAGGUGCGCGAGACUUUGGGUACUGAGAACAAGGAAAUGCUGAGAGAUAUAGCACGUUUGGAGAAACGUGCAGAGCAGGAAGAAGAACUCUUUGCUCGUGUACCAUUAAACAGAGAAGAGCGUAGGAAGGUCAAGAACUUGAAGAAAGGACGAAGCGGGCUGUUGGGUAUGCUCGAUGAUUUUGAAGAUGAUGUUGUUGGUCUUACAAAUAUGGAUGAAGUACCACAGCAUCAGUCAAAUUGGCCCUCAAGUGGCAAGUCUCCAAAGAAGAAAUCAAAGUACAAUGGUAAUGACAAUGAUGCUCCCGAGGACUUUGGAGAACGACCCAGAAAACAGAAAGCUAACAGGAAAACUUCUGGUUUCAAAUGACGAUACCAGCCAUCAGCUCCUUGGUUAUAUUCUCGAUCACCAUUGCCCUCGCUACUAGAUUUGGUCCAGAAUUUUGGCGAUAUUUAUUGGUUGGAAUCUAACUAGUCAAGUCAAGUCGGAGUUCAUUUUUGUAGUUCAAUGAGGUGAUCCAGGUGACACACAUCGAUAUGUCAAGGAAUGCUGACAUGAAAUAUGUACUCUUGAUAUGCUGGUAUAAGAAAAGAAUUGCUUUAGAAGGCAGCGUAUGCCAGGUUUAGUUCUAGCGGCCUUUCAGAGUGAGUACUCAGAGAUCGGGCUGUUCUUUUCAAGUUCUUUUCGUAGUGAUUAUCAUAUUUAGGUGUCUCAACGGAAAUCGUCUCAAAACAGCAUUUGGGCCCAAAUACUAACGCGAGGACCUCAGCUUUCACAGAUCAUAUGCUUCACUCCUCUACACAAAGAAUCGUGUCGUCCACCACGAGAAGGCUGCACGAUUCCCGAAAGGAUGAUUUUGUUCGAGAUGGAAGACUGCCUGGCGAACCAUAUUCACAGGCAUGAGGAGCUUCAGAUUACAGGGUGUUAAUCGAAUGCUGAGGAAAUGAGUGAGACUCCACACUUCGUCAUGUUCUUCAGAUCAAAUUUGCACAGCAAUAUUUGUUCUCUGAUGCUGUCUACAAUCGAACUGUUUCCAACUUUCCCUCAACCAUCCUUCAGUUACCCUUAUUGGACCACUAUUUGAUCCAACUUUCCCUCAACCAUCCUUCGGUAACCCUUAUUAGUCCACCAUUUGAUGGGAUCCAGGUAUCAUUACAAUUCAGAAAACCUUUCUCAUACCUAAUUACUCUUCUUUCUUUCUAUGUCACUCAUGUAACAAAAUAAGAUUAUAUAUAUAUAUAUAUAUAUAUAUACAAUAUUGUUAAUGCCAUUA